rnacentral:rRNA from 1 species
UACGUAGGGGGCAAGCGUUGUCCGGAAUCAUUGGGCGUAAAGAGCGCGUGGGCGGCCCGGUAAGUCCGCUGUGAAAGUCAAGGGCUCAACCCUUGAAUGCCGGUGGAUACUGUCGGGCUAGAGUCCGGAAGAGGCGAGUGAAAUUCCUGGUGUAGCGGUGAAAUGCGCAGAUAUCAGGAGGAACACCUAUUGCGAAGGCAGCUCGCUGGGACGUAACUGACGCUGAGACGCGAAAGCGUGGGGAGCAAACAGG